GGGGCUGUAGCUCAGUGGCACAGUGCUUGCCUAGCAUGUGUGAGACUGAGUUCGAUCUUCAGCACCACA
rnacentral:tRNA from 1 species